GACGAACGCUGGCGGCGUGCCUAAUACAUGCAAGUAGAACGCUGAAGGAGGAGCUUGCUCUUCUGGAUGAGUUGCGAACGGGUGAGUAACGCGUAGGUAACCUGCCUGGUAGCGGGGGAUAACUAUUGGAAACGAUAGCUAAUACCGCAUAACAGUAGAUGUUGCAUGACAUUUACUUAAAAGGUUCAAUUGCAUCACUACCAGAUGGACCUGCGUUGUAUUAGCUAGUUGGUGGGGUAUCGGCUCACCAAGGCGACGAUACAUAGCCGAACUGAGAGGGUGAUUGGCCACACUGGGACGGUGACACGGCCCAGACUCCCUCAGGAGGCAGCCGUAGGGAAACUUGGGCAAGGGGCGGAAGUCUGACCGAGCAACGCCGAGUGAGUGAAGAAGGUUUUCGGGUCGUAAAGCUCUGUUGUCAGGGAAGAACGAGUGUGAGAGUGGAAAGUUCACACUGUGACGGUAUCUUACCAGAAAGGGACGGCUAACUACGUG
rnacentral:rRNA from 1 species